AGCAGUAGCCACGGUAGUACGUAGGUGGCGAGCGUUGUCCGGAAUCAUUGGGCGUAAAGGGAGCGCAGGCGGGCAUGUAAGUCUUUCUUAAAAGUUCGGGGCUCAACCCCGUGAUGGGAAAGAAACUAUAUGUCUUGAGUACAGGAGAGGAAAGCGGAAUUCCCAGUGUAGCGGUGAAAUGCGUAGAUAUUGGGAGGAACACCAGUGGCGAAGGCGGCUUUCUGGACUGCAACUGACGCUGGGGCUCGAAAGCCAGGGGAGCGAACGGGAUUAGAUACCCCCGUAGUCCCUGUCUCUUAUACA
rnacentral:rRNA from 1 species